UCCAGACUCCUACGGGAGGCAGCAGUGGGGAAUAUUGGGCAAUGGGCGAAAGCCUGACCCAGCAAUGCCGCGUGAAUGAAGAAGGUCUUAGGAUUGUAAAAUUCUGUCCUAUGGGAAGAAACAAAUGACGGUACCAUAGGAGGAAGCCCCGGCUAACUACGUGCCAGCAGCCGCGGUAAUACGUAGGGAGCAAGCGUUGUCCGGAAUUACUGGGUGUAAAGGGAGCGUAGGCGGGGAUGCAAGUUGGGUGUCAAAACUACCGGCUCAACCGAUAGUCGCACUCAAAACUGCAGCUCUUGAGUGAAGUAGAGGCAGGCGGAAUUCCUAGUGUAGCGGUGAAAUGCGUAGAUAUUAGGAGGAACACCAGUGGCGAAGGCGACUAUCUGGCACAUAACUGACGCUGAGGAGCGAAAGCGUGGGUAGCAAACAGGAUUAGAUACCCUUGUA
rnacentral:rRNA from 1 species